UCCUGGCACUUCAUGUUGACAGCUGUCACUUAAUAUACCUGUAUGGUUACCGGAUCACUGGAGCUGAACAGUAAGGAGAACUCUGAAGAACUCAAGAACCUGCUGCUGUGAGAUGGAAGUGCUGUCCUAGGAGGAAACGGAAAGGGAACCUUCUGCAAGCAUUUCUGUAACUGAUGAGUCCCUGGAUGGUACUGGAAGGUUUUUCUACUAAAGGCAAGAAGACAUUUUCUCAAGCAGUAACAGAUGGCCCAUGAUGCUCUUAUUUCACCGUGAAUUCAUCUCUUCAAGCAGCAGAUAAUGACAGUGGGAGAGGGAAAGCUCAGCCAGCGUGGGUGAUGACUCUCUUGGACACUGUGAUAACUGGAUACAUUUGGCUUUUUGACCUUGCAAACUUCUGUAACCCUAUUGGACUGGAUCUUUGUAAUACAUUGCAAAAUAGUUGGGCAGUCCAACCAAAUGUAUCUUAAUGUCUGUAAUCUUUGUACAGGGAGAGUGAUGUAAGGCUUCUGUUUAGGUAUUGCAGACAAAAACGUAAAGACAGAUAAGGAGGUAAUCAUGUCUCUUGUGUCUUUG
rnacentral:lncRNA from 1 species